GCUCAGGAUGAACGCUAGCUACAGGCUUAACACAUGCAAGUCGAGGGGUAGCAGGGUAGCAAUACCGCUGACGGCCGGCGCACGGGUGAGUAACACGUAUCCAACCUUCCCAUAACUCGGGGAUAGCCUUUCGAAAGAAAGAUUAAUACCCGAUAGUACUUUUUUAGGGCAUCUUAGAAAAGUUAAAGAUUUAUUGGUUAUGGAUGGGGAUGCGUUCCAUUAGAUAGUUGGUGAGGUAACGGCUCACCAAGUCUUCGAUGGAUAGGGGUUCUGAGAGGAAGGUCCCCCACAUUGGUACUGAGACACGGACCAAACUCCUACGGGAGGCAGCAGUGAGGAAUAUUGGUCAAUGGGCGAGAGCCUGAACCAGC
rnacentral:rRNA from 1 species